CCUACGGGAGACAGCAGUGAGGAAUAUUGGUCAAUGGUCGGGAGACUGAACCAGCCAAGCCGCGUGAGGGAGGAAGGUCCAGAGUAUCGUAAACCUCUUUUGUCAGGGAACAAAGGCGGGGACGUGUCCCCGGAUGAGUGUACCUGAAGAAAAAGCAUCGGCUAACCCGGUGCCAGCAGCCGCGGUAAUCCGGAGGAUGCGAGCGUUAUCCGGGUUUAUUGGGUUAAAGGGGUGCGCAGGCGGUCUGUUAAGUCAGCGGUAAAGGCCCGGGGCUCAACCCCGGCCCGCCGUUGAAACUGGCAGUCUCGAGUAGGAGAGAAGUAUGCGGAAUGCGCGGUGUAGCGGUGAAAUGCAUAGAUAUCGCGCAGAACUCCGAUUGCGAAGGCAGCAUGCCGGCUCCACACUGACGCUGAGGCACGAAAGCGUGGGUAUCGAACAGGAUUAGAUACCCGGGUAGUC
rnacentral:rRNA from 1 species